rnacentral:rRNA from 1 species
AUUGAACGCUGGCGGCAUGCCUUACACAUGCAAGUCGAACGGCAGCACGGACUUCGGUCUGGUGGCGAGUGGCGAACGGGUGAGUAAUGUAUCGGAACGUACCCUUCAGUGGGGGAUAACUAUCCGAAAGGAUAGCUAAUACCGCAUAUUCUCUGAGGAGGAAAGCGGGGGAUCGCAAGACCUCGCGCUGAUGGAGCGGCCGAUAUCAGAUUAGCUAGUUGGUGGGGUAAAGGCCUACCAAGGCGACGAUCUGUAGCGGGUCUGAGAGGAUGGUCCGCCACACUGGGACUGAGACACGGCCCAGACUCCUACGGGAGGCAGAAGUGGGGAAUUUUGGACAAUGGGGGCAACCCUGAUCCAGCCAUGCCGCGUGAGUGAAGAAGGCCUUCGGGUUGUAAAGCUCUUUCGGCCGGGAAGAAAUCGCGUGAGUUAAUACCUUGCGUGGAUGACGGUACCGGAAUAAGAAGCACCGGCUAACUACGUGCCAGCCGCCGCCGUAAUAC